rnacentral:rRNA from 1 species
GAUGAACGCUGACGGCGUGCCUAAUACAUGCGAGUCGAGCGAACGGACGAGAAGCUUGCUUCUCUGAUGUUAGCGGCGGACGGGUGAGUAACACGUGGAUAACCUACCUAUAAGACUGGGAUAACUUCGGGAAACCGGAGCUAAUACCGGAUAAUAUUUUGAACCGCAUGGUUCAAAAGUGAAAGACGGUCUUGCUGUCACUUAUAGAUGGAUCCGCGCUGCAUUAGCUAGUUGGUAAGGUAACGGCUUACCAAGGCAACGAUGCAUAGCCGACCUGAGAGGGUGAUCGGCCACACUGGAACUGAGACACGGUCCAGACUCCUACGGGAGGCAGCAGUAGGGAAUCUUCCGCAAUGGGCGAAAGCCUGACGGAGCAACGCCGCGUGAGUGAUGAAGGUCUUCGGAUCGUAAAACUCUGUUAUUAGGGAAGAACAUAUGUGUAAGUAACUGUGCACAUCUUGACGGUACCUAAUCAGAAAGCCACGGCUAACUACGUG